rnacentral:rRNA from 1 species
UGGGGAAUAUUGCACAAUGGGCGCAAGCCUGAUGCAGCCAUGCCGCGUGUAUGAAGAAGGCCUUCGGGUUGUAAAGUACUUUCAGCGGGGAGGAAGGUGUUGUGGUUAAUAACCACAGCAAUUGACGUUACCCGCAGAAGAAGCACCGGCUAACUCCGUGCCAGCAGCCGCGGUAAUACGGAGGGUACAAGCGUUAAUCGGAAUUACUGGGCGUAAAGCGCACGCAGGCGGUCUGUCAAGUCGGAUGUGAAAUCCCCGGGCUCAACCUGGGAACUGCAUCCGAAACUGGCAGGCUUGAGUCUUGUAGAGGGGGGUAGAAUUCCAGGUGUAGCGGUGAAAUGCGUAGAGAUCUGGAGGAAUACCGGUGGCGAAGGCGGCCCCCUGGACAAAGACUGACGCUCAGGUGCGAAAGCGUGGGGAGCAAACA